rnacentral:rRNA from 1 species
GACGAACGCUGGCGGCGUGCCUAAUACAUGCAAGUCGAGCGGACGAAUCGAAAGCUUGCUGUUUAUUCGUUAGCGGCGGACGGGUGAGUAACACGUGGGCAACCUGCCCUGUAGUCGGGGAUAACACCGAGAAAGCGGUGCUAAUACCGUAUAACACGAAAUGUCGCAUGACGUUUCGUUGAAAGACGGCGCAAGCUGCCGGUCCAGGAUGGUCCCGCGUGGCAUGUGCUAGUUGGUGAGGUAACGGCUCACCAAGGCGACGAUACGUAGCCGACGUGAGGGGGUGAUAGGCCACACUGGGACUGAAACACGGCCAAGACUCCUACGGGAGGCAGCAGUAGGGAAUCUUCCGCAAUGGACGGAAGUCUGACGGAGCAACGCCGCGUGAGAGAAGAAGGCCUUCGGGUCGUAAAGAUCUGUUGUUAGGGAAGAACAAGUAACGCAGUAACUGGAGUUACCGUGACGGUAACUAACGAGAAAGCAACGGCUAACUACGUG